GGCUCCGGGGUCAAGCGGUUCAGACAUCGCCCUUUCACGGCGGUAACACGGGUUCAAUUCCCGUCGGAGUCA
rnacentral:tRNA from 1 species